GUCCUCGUAGUGUAAUGGAUAACACGGAAGCCUCCGAAGCUUUAAAUGUGAGUUCGAUCCUCGCCGAGGGCA
rnacentral:tRNA from 1 species